rnacentral:rRNA from 1 species
GACGAACGCUGGCGGCGUGCCUAAUACAUGCAAGUCGAGCGCAGGAAGCUGACGGAACUCUUCGGAGGGAAGGCAGUGGAAUGAGCGGCGGACGGGUGAGUAACACGUAAGGAACCUGCCUCAAGGAUUGGGAUAACUCCGAGAAAUCGGAGCUAAUACCGGAUAGUUCAUCGGACCGCAUGGUCCGUUGAUGAAAGGCGCUUCGGCGUCACCUUGAGAUGGCCUUGCGGUGCAUUAGCUAGUUGGUGGGGUAACAGCCCACCAAGGCGACGAUGCAUAGCCGACCUGAGAGGGUGAUCGGCCACACUGGGACUGAGACACGGCCCAGACUCUUACGGGAGGCAGCAGUAGGGAAUCUUCCACAAUGGACGAAAGUCUGAUGGAGCAACGCCGCGUGAGUGAUGAAGGUUUUCGGAUCGUAAAACUCUGUUGUAAGGGAAGAACACGUACGAGAGGGAAUGCUCGUACCUUGACGGUACCUUACGAGAAAGCCACGGCUAACUACGUGCCAGCCGCCGCCGUAA